CGAUAAUUCACUAAACACCUAAAAUUAUCAGAUUUGCAAUUCUCAUAUUUGCUAAACAUAAGAACAAACACCACUUGGUCAGUAAUAUUAGAUGUCUGGUUUCAAAUCAGACAUUUCAGACUAUGCAAAUCAUAGAAUUUAUAUUAGAUCAACGUUUACCAAAUACUGAAUGCAAACUCACAGGUGGGGGCUGGACAGUGACAUGCCCAUUCCCAUAUGAUGUAUCCAAUGUCAGUGGGGCCUCUUUGGCAGUACAGGGUCAUCUGCUGCCCACCAUUUAUCAGAUAUGCCUCACCCACAGCAUGGCAAGUGUGGGCACAAGGAGAUAAUAAACCUUCCUAUACUUAGAUGGGGAUCAUAUGGAUCCCGCAUUUUUUUUUUUUUUUUUUUGAAAAGGGUGUCUAACAAGACAUUAACCCUUGUGCUACUUACAUCUUUUUGUAAUUCAGUGGGCAAAAAGUCUGCACAUUUCAAAUUCAGGUCUGAGUUUAUAGCAGCAUUCAGUCAGACUGAAAUCUAGACACAAGCCUACCUCCUUCAGAGCCAGAAUUGUACAAUUCAGACAUUGAUCAAUUUUGUGUUUUAUGUACAGAUUUUUAGUCUGAAUGCCCCUAUGUACAGAAAUGGGUUGUUCUCACCCAUUUAAAACUGGGGUAUUUGGACUAGAGUGAAAAAAAACUGUUAGAGAUACGCAGAAAUAAUAUAUAUCUGACAUUCUCCAAUCUUCACCCUAAUAACCGCAAACAGCCAGCACUAGAGACCCUCAAAUAAGUCUCCGCAAUAAACCUUUCUCAAAGUACUAAAUGCAAGCAGCCCCUCACUUUGCAUUACUUGCUAGGAUCUUUCAGAAAAUGUUUGAAAUCCAGACUGUAAGAUCUUUUUUUCUUUCAUCUGUAAAAAUACUUUUCUCAAACUUUUUUUCAGCUAAUGUUUGAGCUGUUUCAGAAGCUGCGGCAAGAUGCCAUUACGCUCUCAUUCAUGUCAUUAGGACAAUUCACUUUGUAGCAUGGAAAUAUUGCUGCAUCUAUUAUUCCAUAGGGUUUGUUCUUAUCAUAAAAGAUAAUCGAUGAAUAAUACAGUCGUGUUUCUCGGGAAGAGAUGCACAUAUCACGUCCCACAGAUUUCUGCAUAUAUGUUUCCCAAAGAGGUUGACAUCCCAUCAAGAAAGCAGAUGCCCGUCUCUUGUUAGUGUCCAUAAUGCUUUGAGCCAGUUAUUCACAGGGCAAAUCUACUCUUUGAAUGGAUGGCCUCCAGCACUUCAUACAACUCCUGGUGUUUGGGACUGCACAAGCUGCAGCGUACCACUAUACAGUGGAGCAAAGGCUAAGUGAGUCUGGAUAAAAAGUGAUUUCCACUUUAUUUUAUUCUUCAAACCUUCAACAGCAACUUGUAGUUUUCUUCACUCAACCUGACAGAGGCACUUCCUCCGAAUAACAGAGUAAAACUAUUUCAAUCAGAUGGUCUCAUAGACGCCAUUUUACUGUCGCAGAGCAGCAUUUUUCUGCGCAUGCGCACAAACCCCCCCAAUGCUUUCCUUGUCUUAUGGAAAGCAUUUGAUUGGCUGAAAUUAUCCAUCUCUAUGAUCUCAACCAAGUAGGUGGGACAGCAGUGCAGAGACACCUUUAUAUUCCCAACGCUAUAGAGUUCCUUUAAGGGUGAUCACCAGGUUUACCCACUCCUGAUGGGAGAAGAGCUGCCUCUUCUGCAGUGUCACAGCAUGGGACACUCUAACUUAAAGCUCUAAACCUGUAAUUAUGUUUUAUAUAAUUCUGUGAAUAAGGGAUUUGACAUGACCAGUCCAAUCAAACAGGUUCUUCUACCCUGCAGCACAGAAUUUUGGAAUUAAACAGCUUGUCUGUUUCACCCACUGGUUAAGAUUGACUGUUGACAUCAUAUGCUCACCGCAGCUUCUUUUAAAGUCACGCAGACCACAUUAUUUUAACCGGUGCAGUAGCCCUGUCAUUUUAACCAUUCAAUGAAAAACGUUUUGGGUUUUUUCCGAAGCAAACAAACAUACCAUAGCUUAAAGGGACACUCCAAGCACCAAAACAACUUAAACUAAAUUAAGUUGUUAUGGUGCCAGAAGUCCACCGGAGACACUAUGAAAGGUUUAACCUCAAAGUUGCCUCCAACGGCGAUGUCCACUCCCCCAUAGUGGCAUCCGGCUUCUGACUUUUCUGAAGAUUCAUGAAGUGCAGAGUGCAGCUGAUGCUCACAGCUAAUCAGUGAUUCUCAUUCACAAAACUGUCUUUGAAACAAACGUACAUUUUCUAAGCCAGUUUUGUGAAUGGAGUGUCACUGAUUGGCUGAGAGCAGUCAGGUGACACCCUCAGCCAAUCAGAAGCCUGAUGCAGCAUGGGGGUUGGAGUGGACAUCGCCACUGGGGGCUGCUGGCACCAUAACAAUUUAUUUUAGAUUAAGUUGUUUUGGUGCCUAGAGUAUCCUUUUAAAUAAAUGAAAAUAUUAAUUUUGUCAUUAAUACUCACUUACGUAAUGAAGAUUCCAGAUGAAAUGUCCACGUUAAAGGGGGCCACUCCAAGCUAGCACUCACCUCAUACUUGUAAAGAAUUCCUCCGUUUAUGGCUAAAAAAAAAUAAUAAAAAGCACUCACCAGCAUUUGUUUGAGUUAAGAAACAGCUGGCACUGGCCCCAGCAGUCUAUGUAUGUAUUAUCCAGCUUUUGUUGUACAUUCAUUCUGUGAAGGAAAUGCCAGACCCGGUCCAGCAUGUACUAACCACCAGUUUGUGUUGCUAGAUGCACUAUGGAGGUUAUAGGUGUACUACUGAUCAGACUCCUACAGGUGAUACUCGAAAUAUUAGAAUAUCGUGCAAAAGUUCAUUUAUUUCAGUAAUGCAACGUAAAAGGGGAAACUAA